rnacentral:misc_RNA from 1 species
UUUCCGUAGGUGGACCUGCGGAAGGAUCAUUACAGAGUUCAUGCCCUCACGGGUAGAUCUCCCACCCUUGAAUAUUUAUACCUUAGUUGCUUUGGCAGGCCGUGGAAACACCAUGGGCUCCGGCUUAUGCGUGCCUGCCAGAGGAAACAAACUCUGUUUUUAGUGAUGUCUGAGUACUAUAUAAUAGUUAAAACUUUCAACAACGGAUCUCUUGGUUCUG